UACGAAGGGGGCAAGCGUUGUUCGGAAUUACUGGGCGUAAAGGGCGCGUAGGCGGCUUACCAAGUCAGGCGUGAAAUUCCCGGGCUCAACCUGGGGGCUGCGCUUGAUACUGGUGAGCUUGAAUGCGGGAGAGGAUAGUGGAAUUCCCAGUGUAGAGGUGAAAUUCGUAGAUAUUGGGAAGAACACCGGUGGCGAAGGCAGCUCUCUGGGACGGUACUGACGCUGAGACGCGAAAGCGUGGGGAGCGAACAGG
rnacentral:rRNA from 1 species